GGGGGGUUCCUGCCGGACACGCGCGGAGCUGCCGCGGGGACCCGGGUGAGCACGGCUCAGCAGCUCGGGGCUCUGCGCUCCCGUACAGGCUGAAGGGAAAAGAAACCAAUGUACCCUCCUGUGGGCUGAAAGUCCCAGCUUGCUCCAAGGGGCUCAGACUCUGGGAACGCUCCUCCUUUCACUGCUGCCACUGGCAGCUUGUGGCUUGCAUCAAUUGUUUCUCUUAAACGUCUGCUUCCCUUUCCUUCAGGUCUGAGAAAUCUAUAUUUUAAACUAUAAGUUCUUCUGGGUGAGGGUGAUGUCUGUCUACAUGCCUGCAGAGUAUUUAGCAUUUAGUGAUGUCUUGCCUCACUUCUAAGACCUACAGUCGUACACCACUAGCAGUAAAUGCACAUCGGACACUGAGAGGCUAAGAAACAUAUAUAUGGCUCUGAAGCUGAAGCCACAACUGUGCAAGCAGAUACAGACAGGCAACACUCUAUGUGGUUAAAGAAAAGCACAUGCCAGAGACUUGGGAGCAGCUGGCCCUGAAUUUUGGCCUCAACACACCAUGUAAAAUUGAACAUAUGCGUGGACUAGGUUUGACUCCCUUCAGAUGCUUCUGAAACACAAUAAUAUCUCACUGGAGCUUCUGCCACCAGACACCCAGAAGCAAUGGCACACAGUUUCUGGAAGCCUUCAAGAAGUGAGUUUUAAUAGUCAUCUGGAACCACCUCCAAGGAAGCAGAGGUAGGAAGAGAAGCCAGAUCAUCAGGGCUGCUGUUCGAGAUGGUCUUUCUACUUUCUGCAGUCCCAGACUCAUUCAACACUCCCAGCCUUGACAGAU
rnacentral:lncRNA from 1 species